rnacentral:misc_RNA from 1 species
UGUUAGUUGCGUUAGGGAUUGCAACGGAUAGCCCACAGCCCGACGUAGGAGGUGCGAGGACUUGUAGUGGAAAGCCCGACCCUUG